rnacentral:rRNA from 1 species
GCAAGUCGAACGAUGAACCUCCUUCGGGAGGGGAUUAGUGGCGAACGGGUGAGUAACACGUGGGCAAUCUGCCCUUCACUCUGGGACAAGCCCUGGAAACGGGGUCUAAUACCGGAUAACACUGCGGAUCGCAUGGUCUGCGGUUGAAAGCUCCGGCGGUGAAGGAUGAGCCCGCGGCCUAUCAGCUUGUUGGUGGGGUGAUGGCCUACCAAGGCGACGACGGGUAGCCGGCCUGAGAGGGCGACCGGCCACACUGGGACUGAGACACGGCCCAGACUCCUACGGGAGGCAGCAGUGGGGAAUAUUGCACAAUGGGCGAAAGCCUGAUGCAGCGACGCCGCGUGAGGGAUGACGGCCUUCGGGUUGUAAACCUCUUUCAGCAGGGAAGAAGCGAAAGUGACGGUACCUGCAGAAGAAGCGCCGGCUAACUACGUGCCAGCAGCCGCGGUAAUAC